UCGCAUUGGCUGUUCCGGUGAUUUUCGUGCAAACCUAUUUAUAACUGCGUAUUUUACAUUUUUUUCCCCGGAGGGGGUUUAUUUCUGAAUUCUGAAGGCAAAGGUCAAGCUUCAACAGCGUGUCUCCGAUGUCGGAAUAGUGUGAAAAGUGACAGUAAACUUCGUUAUUACGUUAUUACAAGAGGAUAUUUUACUGUUUUUAACAAAGGAACACAUUAUUUAUACCCAGAGUUUACACACGAUGACCGGUCACUGACAUGUGGUAUGAAGUAGAUUGACCUCUGACCCCGGGGGAUGAGUGACCCCCUGUCCCCGCGCGCCCUCAGGAAGGGCAAGAUCGUCAACAUCCGAAUCAAGUUCCUUGAUGACACUGUCCAUGUCUUUCAAGUUUCAGUGAAGGCCCCUGGUCUGAGUCUGUGGGAGGCGGCGGUGUACCACCUACAGCUUGUGGAGUGUGAUUACUUCGGUCUCCAGUAUGAGGACUCGCACGGACUCAAGUGCUGGCUGGACCAUGAGAAGCCCAUUCUGAAGCAGCUACCCUCCCCAGACUCGCCCCUCGAGUUCCUGGUCAAGUUCUACACACCCGACCCUGGCAUGCUGGACGAGUUCUCAAGGUACCUGUACGGUCUACAGAUAAAAAAGGACCUGGCCAAUGGCUCCAUGGUGUGUAGUGAGAACACGGCGGCCCUAAUAGCCUCCUACAUAGCACAAGCUGAGAUAGGAGACUUCAUCAUUGAGGAGUAUCACGACCACUCCUAUCUGUCCAUGCUGGGGCCAUUUGUACCGAACCAAACAGAGGAAAUGCUGAAGAAAGUGGCGGAGUACCAUAAACAGCACAUAGGGGAAAGUCCGGCCGAGGCAGAGGCCGGGUUACUUGACACUGCCAGGAAAGUGGAAACUUACGGAAUGAAGCUUUGUCCAGCCAGGGAUCAUGAGGGAGUGAUUUUAAGCCUGGCGGUGGCUCACCUGGGCAUCUUAGUCUUUCAACAGUACACUCGAAUCAACACAUUCUCAUGGGCAAAGAUCCGCAAACUUAGUUUUAAGCGGAAACGUUUCCUCAUCAAACUUCAUCCAGAAACAUACGUCAGUGGACAGAAGGGUUAUUACAAGGACACGGUGGAGUUCUUCUUUGACAGCCGCGACUGCUGUAAGAACUUCUGGAAGAAGUGUCUGGAACACCACGCAUUUUUUCGCUGCCAUAGAAUCAAACCAGUGCCAAGAAACAAGACCCGAUUGGUCAGCCACGGAUCCUCAUUCAGGUACAGUGGGCGGACACAGAAACAGCUGAUGAGUUACGUCCGUGAAAACCCCGUGGUCACCCCGCAAUUCCAAAGAUCGGUUAGUGGUAGGAUCUCGUCAAGCCGCAGCACCAGUGUCACCCCAAAGAUCACCGCUAAAGCCGUCAUCCACACCACGCCGGACACCACCAACAGCAUGGGGUCUCGCGGCUCUCAAACCGCAGGGUCCGAUAGGGUGGUAUCUCCCACCAGGAGCGACCACAACGACUCCCACAGCCUGGACAGCUCCUUGUCAGGAAGUAGGUCACUCCACUCCCCCAGGCUGGACGGGGGUCACCGUGAGGGAACGCCCGGGGUGGACGAUUACCAGGAGAAUGAAGACGAGGCUGUCAGAGGUGCCCGUUUACUUGUUACUAAUGCUGAAUGUCUAGGUACUAAUUCUCAUGUAUCGUCAGCCAAUCAAAAUGUACAUGACAAUGGUAACUUGGCAUCUGUUGAUGCCAAUAUUUCAGGUGGUGGCGGUGGUGUCAAUGGUGGUGGGUCUGAUGUUGUAUGUACUAACGGUGGGGCAGUUACUGUCAAUAACUCAGAUAAGUCUGUUGGGGGGAAAUCGGGGGAUACUUCUCCAUCUCAUGAUAAUACAGGGGUCAUUACUCACUUAAAGGACAGCAGGAGAGUCAUGUUCGCAGAGGACACAAAGUCAUCAUCAUCAUCCUCAUCCUCAUCAUCGUCCGAUUUUCCCACAGAACAGAAACAGAUAACGAGUCAAGCGGGGAAGUUUAUGAUCACGUUAAAGGAGGAGAUCCCCGCGGGAACGUGUAUUACGGUCAGCAUGGAGAUGUCGCCCGUGAAGGAAGUACCAGACUCCAUGGAGGAGAGUGAAACCAAUAUGAAUGGUGAUAGGACAGACCAUUGUGUUGUUCGUGCAAAUUCUGAAGUUCAGGAUUCGGCUGAUUUAUACGAACCAUCAGCAGCGUCAGGAAGUGUUGAGACAGGGUCCACGAUGGAGACUUCACCUCAUGGAGCGUCCCCUGAAGCAGAGAAGAGUGAAAUUAGCAGUCCUGACGAUCUCAUCGAAGACAUUCCCUACUACCUAGAGCGACGGCUGUACGAUAACGGCAUGGCUGACAAACAGGAAGUCAAGAGUCCGCCAUUCGUAAGGAGGGGGAGGAGUUCCACGAAGAGAAGACCUACCAACAUGCAGAUUGAGCAUGUGAAGGUGUACGAGGGGGGCAGCCAGUCACGGAACGAGUCCCCGGCCUCGGGAAGGUCCCUAUCUAGGGACAAGGAAACUUGUGAGAGCAUGUCCCCUGUGGGUCGAUCGGUGACGAGUAGGUCCCCCUCCACGGGACACAGGUACACCAGUAAAUCAUCCCUAGAGAGGUCCCCGUCCUGUAACAGGAAAGUGGAGAUUGUCAACGUCCACAAACUUCCCCCGAGGGACAGCUACUCCUCUGUGGACGAUACGACUAGCCCCACUAUAGAGAAGGACGUGAUUAGACAUAUACAGAACAGGGGGAUAUUGGGGAAGAGUCUGUCCUUCAGGGGGGAGAGGGAGGUCAGGACCAGGACUCCAAACCUCAACAAGAGCUCCUCAUUCCACGGGGAAAAAGACCUCAAGAUGAAAAUCCCCAACGGAGGGGCAACCUUUAUUGAUGAACUUCACCAGAAAAUGAGUGAGAUUGGAGACCAGAAAGCAGAUAAAAGUAAGCUUGAAACAAAUACUUGUGAAAGUGAGAAGAUGAAGACAGAGAAAGGUGAAGGGUCGUCAUCAGUGGGCAAUAAUAAUGGAGGACAGGUGCCAGACUCAGGCACUGUGGAGAGGCAGAGUGUUGGUGAUUUGUGUGGGGAGAGCUCUGUGGGUCUGAAGCUAACCGACAGUGUGAGUCUGUGUGGGUCAGGCAGUGUGAGUCAGGGGAUGGACCUACCCUCACAGGCAGCAGCUUACCUGAUUCUGAACAAGGACCCUCCAGCCAGAAAACCAAAACUCAAGAACAUAACUUUUUCCACAUUUAAACCAAUGGACGACACAGCAGCACCUGGCUGUCGCCCCAGCAGUGUUGUUGAUUCAGAAACCGAUGCCAAAAGUGACUAUGGUUCACUUCCCUCAGCAAAACAUGCAGACAGCAAGAAGCCCCUGCAGAUCCCUGUACAGCCAGAGGCCAUGUUAUUUAACCCUACAAACACAAAGGUUGUGCCUGCUGAAGUAGAGGGCAAAAAGAUGGACAGGUUUUACGGUCCUCUGAGACCCAGGAAAGUGAGCUUCCACAGAGAGAGAGGCUACAAAUACAGCUUUGAGAGUGUGAAUGAUCCCCCGGCCUUCGCUCUGGCUGAGCCCAUUGAGGAUAUCUGUCUGAUUGACACCACUGACAGAGGUCCCUCAAAGUCCCCUUCAACGGACGUUCUUGACAUCCUUGAAGGGCUGGAGGAUGCUGAGUUAGUGGAAUCUGACACUUCCGAGUCGUGUACCUCAUCCCUGGACUCGGACGGUCCCAGCGAUCACUCCAGCAGUGAUGAGGAAAGCCACAAACAUGACGAGUUCCUCAUAUUUGCCAAGAGUUUGGCUGACUCGGGGAAAGAGACCACCAAAGACUCUGGGGUGGGGGUGGAUGAGGGACCGGUCAGAUCUCUGUCCCAGGACGACCCGGCCUCAGACGGCAAGAGGGGGACCAAGAAACCGUCGCAGGAGAAAGCAGAUGAGAGGGAGCCCCCCAACAGGAGAACCCUGGUGCGUCAGUCCCCUACGGACUCCAGCCUUAGCUCCAUUGAGUCAGACAGUGACCCUGACCUCAGCUGUAAGAGACACAGCCUUGACCCCUUGGACGACCUUGAGAAUCCUAGUAUUGCAGAGGUCAACACCUCAUUCAGUGAUUCCUCCUCCGAUGGGGAGAGGGAGGAGGGACAGAAGACUGGGGGAGGGUUUGUUAUCCCGACCUUGACCUUUAGCCUCCCUUCAAGCCCCGAUGCUUCGUCCGGAAGUCCCAAAGAAAACCAAGACAACGAAUUUGGAUCGACGUUUUGUUGAUGCUACCAGUAACUAGCUCCCUCAUAAUGGUGUAUAGUGCUUUAUAGUGUGGGUCUGUUGUUGAUCGAGGAGAUGGAAACUUUUAUUCAUAUGUCUCAGUAUUUCAUACUCAGUAUAUAUAUCGAAAAAUAUUUUUUUUGAAAGAUGAAUCUGAUACUCAGAUAUAAGAUGGUAGUUUAAGCAUUCAUCAAAUCCUAAAAUAUUUAACAUUAAUCCAACAUUGAUAAAAAGCCGUCGUUAAGGCUUAACUUCUAAUUCAUUAUACAAUUUUUUGCAUUCAAAAUGCACUUAUCAUGUGAUGCAGCUGAUGUUGAAAGAGUCAGGCUUUGAAAAUGGAGGAAGUUAUAUAUGUAGACAAGGUAAACAAAGCGCAAUGUAAAUAAUGAUUUAGAAAUUUUAGUUUACAUUUAAUUUUAGAAAAUACAUGCCAUUUACAAACCAUUCAGAAAAGUAUGAAUAGAAGGUUUGUUAAAUUGAUAAUUUACAAGAGUAUAAAGACAGGUACUUAAUAAGUUACAUAGAAAAUACAUGACAGCAAAUACCGCUUGGGUAAUUAAUAUGCAUUCUAAAUGGUUUUUCACAUAUAUGAUCAUAUUAAUCCAGAACCACAGUUUUCUUCACGUGAUUUCAUUGUUUGCUGAAUUUGAACCAGGCUGGCGCUAAAACUACUCACUAAGGCCCUCACUUCUUUAAAGGUGUUUUAUGAGCUCUAGAAGCAGAUGCACGAUGUGACAAAUGAAACCGUUUCUUGAAAUUGUUAAACCAUCCUUUGCUACAUUUAAAGUUGCUGCCUUUUGAGAUUUCGGCUGCGCGAGAUUUAAACCAGCAAGACUUGGCUUCCAGACCCUGCUUUCUUAUUUCUGUAAAUUCCUCAUGAAUUUGUUUUUCCAACUCGGGGAAGAAUGAUUUUCGUCCAGAGCCGUGUGAUUUGGCACCCUUUGGCGAAUGUUUAAGUUUAAUUUCGGACUUUAACCAGCGGCGAACAUUGCUGUCGUCGAGGUUAAAGUGUCUGGCCGUAUCAGAAAUCCUGGUCUUAGUGUUACCUUCACGAGCCUCUCGGUAGUGCUCAACCACUCGCAGCUUAAACUCACGGGUGUAACUUUUCCGAGGAAUUUUUGAAUGGGUGCUGGUGUCCAUUUUGAUCACCGUUUAACAAACUGACUGUAAAUUCUCUUGUAGUGUGAUUCCUGUCGCAUCGUGUGUACCUGUCUUUAUACCCAGGUAAUCUGUUCUAUAGAAGCUAGGCUGAAUUUCUAAUUAUGAAUUCUUCUAAUAAUUCCGACAGAUUAAAAAAAAACCUCUAUCAUAGAAGAAUCCGACUUGAGAGUAAGCCGGUCUUAAGAAUAAGCCCCCUUAUUACGAGUGUAAUUUAAAAAUAAUCCACUGCAGCUUACUUUCAAGACUUUAGGGUAGUUGCUACCUAGUACUCUGUUUUUUUUUCACUCAUUUCAUUUUUAUUGUCGGGUAUUGUUAAUGCUUUCAAAUUGAGUUCCGUCACCAUGAGUUGGUCAGAAACAAAAAUCUAGGUUACAUUCAUUGAUUCAUUUGCAAGGUCUUCCAUUAGAUUCCUUCAGAGAUAUGAAAGGGAUGUAAGGAAAGUGCUAAAAACUCAUAUGUAUAGAAAUGUGUAGGCAUAGCUGUUUUUAGCUAUGUAAAAAUAGUAUGUAUUAUGAAUGUAAUUCAAUUUCAUUGGGCCUAAUUAAUGGUUUGGUCACUUAGACCUUGCUCAGAAAAUACAUGUACACUAUUUAUAUAAUAGCAUAAUGCUCAGCGUACUGUAGAUUCCUAAUUAACUAAUCGGCAUUAAUAUCCGCGUCAAGUCGCAGGAAGCACAUCUCACAUAUUUUUUAAUCUCGCUUUUAUUUUUUUGGACUGAUGUAAACUAAAUGAAAUGUGAUAAAAGUUUGGCAUUCUAGAUUAUAUAUUCUCAAGAUCUGAUGCAAAAUGGUUGAAUCGCAGAAUUAAGUACUCACGUAAAAUAAGGAAUCUACAGAUUACAUUUACACGACUCAGUAUUGGAAGGAUAGAAAUCUCAAAGCAAGUGCUCACUACAUAAAAGAGAUUCGUUUACAUUAUGGUAUUAUUUAUUUAUUUAUUCAUUAUUUAUUUUUUGCUACAGUGUUAUAGUUUUAUCACCAUAUUUUUGUGUGACGUUUUACGAAGUUUUAUUUCUUUAGUUCCUAGCUGUGAUACGUUUAUGUGCCAGUUUUACAACGUGGUUUGUGAUUGGUUGAGUUUGGUUUCUGUUGAUGAUAUUUGUUGUUGUUGCUAUUGCAUCAGUUUAAAACUCAACCAUUAAUUUAUACCAAUUUUUAUCAGCAUCAUUUACCAGCAAUUGCUCAGUCUAUAGGAAUAGAGAUGUAAGCAAGUAUUAUCUUUUUUUCUUUUUUUUUUGCUACAGAAUAUUUUUGUAGCAAUGGCCGUAGAAUUCAUAGUUAUGAUAUUUACAAGUGAUCAAACCAUAUGUUCUAAACCCCGUAUCUUCAAACGUCUUUAUGUUAACUAAGCAGAAACCAUAACCUGCCCCAGAGCUUAAGCUCUAUACUGAAGGGAUGUCAUUCAGUGGAAGUUUUAUUGUAGAAAAAUAGAUGGUGAUGAACCCCUUUAAUUGAAUUGUAAUUGCCUGGAGAUUUUCCAGUGUAAUCUUAUGAGCUCUUCCCGAUGCACUUGGCUUAUUGAUUAUAAGUUUUUAAAACUUAAAUUAGCAUGCAUGUAUGGAUUUCUCGUUUACAGUUCAGUAGGGUGGUUUAAUUACACAGACUUUUUGCUAUGCAUGAUGAGACAUUUGACAAGUGGAUGCACCAGAAGCAUUAGUGUUUGUUGUUCAGCUAUUAGUACAAAUACAGGUAGUACAUGUACUGCCUUGAGUUGAUGCGUUUUGAAGCAAGUUGUAUUCAGCAUGCUAUUCAGCAUGGCAUGAUAAUGGAGUCUGACUGACAAAUAACAGAGAUGGUGAGAUAAGUAAGUGAUAAAGGAAUGCUUCUUGUUUAUCAAAUACACAUUACCUAAAGAGCAACCUCAUUCUUGAUUUACACAUUUAAUAGAGAGGAAAAAACCCUGCAGAAAGUCAAAGACUUUUAUUCACAAUUUAUCAACAACAGGUGAAGAAAGAAAAUACGGUUACACCCCCAACCACCAACUAAAAAAGUUUAUUGCCCCUUCCCCAUCUUAUAGAUGAAUAAAAAAAUAAGUAGGUAUUUGAUACCUGCAGUACAGCUUGCAGAGUGGUCAACUUUUUAGUUGGAUUAAGAUCUGUGUUAAGUUUGGACUGCAUUGCUCAUGUUAAAACUUUUUUUCUUGUUUUACAAGAAUUAUUCCAUUGCUUUCAGUAGAUUUACAUUUGUUUUGCUAGUAUCAAGUAGAUUGAAAUGAUUUGAAAUGCACUGUUGUCGAUGAAUUACUUUUUCUUCUGUAGAGUUUAGUUUAUCUCAGUUUCGCUUAUAUUUUUUUAUUUGAUACUCAAACUCGGCUAGGGAACCAUAUCUAUAUUAUCGUAGGCAAAAGAGGGGGAAAAAAUGUUUUUAGAAUGGAUGACAUUUUGACCAAGGACUUCAAAGAGACUUAUUACAUAAAAUAUUUAUUGUGUAUGAUGCAUGGCAGUAAAACACUGGCGUCCACACAUUAUGGCAUCAACUAUUGAUUUAGUAAUGCAACAAUAAGAGAUUGAUUAGUCCUAUAGGAAAUAUUUUCUGUCCUUAUUUUAUCUAUUCAGUUUUUGGCUGUGUGAAGAUCACAAGUGAUUCUGUUUAUUGUCAGAUAAUAAUGGCUGGUUACAACACUGUACACAGAACAAAAAAAUAUUAAUAUAAAAAAACGAGAGAAAUAAAAACAUCUGAUGUAAAAAGGGUGAAUUUGGUGCAAAUUGGAUUAUGGAUUUUUUUUAGUAGAUAAGAGGAAAAAAAUGUAUCAUAAAGGAAGACCCAAUUUUUCAUUUGAAAUUUUUUAGAUUAGAAAUUUCAUGUUAUAAAUGGGUUUCAAAAAUGUAAAGAUUCUAAAACUGAAAAUUGUUUGACAUAAAAAGGGGGAAAUUGGUGCAAAAUGGAUUUUGGGUUGUUGGCAAAAUAAAGGGAAAACAAUGUGUCAAAUAUGGAAUGACCAAGUUUUCCAUUUGAAAUAAUUUGUAUAUGGAUUUUUUUAAAAAUGGUAGGCCAAAUCAUUGAAUAAAAUAACUUUGCUAGCAUUUUUAGUAACUUGAUUCAGGCAUGAAGAUGACAAAAUAACUCAAUAUAAGGUUCUAAUAGAUACAUAGACCAAAUCCUUUAAAAUGACUACAUGUAUCAAAAAUGCUAAAAAAAACCAGUUAAGGUGGUAUGAGACAUCUGUCAAUAUUAAUGUGAAUUUAAGUACAUUAUAAUCAAAAUACUUUCACAGGUUUUGAAUUUUCAAAUUUUAUAACAGUUAUCCAAAAAAACUUUUAAAAAUUAUUUGGAAAGGUAAAAAUUUUAAAAUCUCAAGCGGGAUUUGAACUCAUGAUUACAGAUUCGUAGUGAACCCUUUAACCCACUGCGCUAUGCUGUUAGGUGACAAUUUUGGAAAAGAAACUAUAGAUAAAAUUACACUUGAUUUUAUUGUUUAUUUUGAUAAAUAGUAUCAUAAUGUCACAGCAUGGAAGUGUCCCAUACCACCUUAAGUCUACGGGUUUGGAGCGAGGGUUAUUGGCUAAGGAACAUUACUCGGAUACUUUUCAAUUUCGUGAUUAACUUUUUGUCUAGAGAGAAAACCUAGCAAUCAAAUUUUUAUUUAUUUCCUUUUUUUAUGAUUAUUUUUUCUAUUUUUAUUUUUUUAUGAUUAUUUUUUCUAUUUUUUUUUUAUUAUUUAAAAUGUGAUAUAAGCCCAACAGAACAUAUACACGAGGUUAGGGAAUUUUAAAAGCUUUGAUUCUUCAUGUGUGUAAAUCAGGGAGGCUUUGAAAGAAGGGAUGGUUGGCAUUGUCAUUGCAUUUUGCUCUGGUUUCUGGCUUUGUAGUCUAACAUUGUGUGAAACAAACUCUUUAUUGUGUGUUAUUAUAAAUCAGUUUGUGUUUUAAGCUAGUCUGUAGCUUUAUAGAAUGAACCAAUUUGUAUGAUAUUGUCAGGCUACAGUUUCUAAUUGUCCCAGUUUAUAAUUAUUGUCCAAUAUUUUUAUGUAAAUUUUUUAAUUUAUUUUUUCAUGAUUAUAUUGCAAAAUGGAUUUUUUCUUUGGUCGUAAAUUGAUGAACUCUAUGAAGUAACCAGACAAAACAGGGGGGUUAAAUGCUGAGAAAAGACACCAAAUGAAGACAUUUUUUCAACUUCACAAGACCUCCGUGAGCAUUUGCUGUGUGGUAAAAGUGCUUUUUAUGCAAAGAAAGAACCUGUUUUAUACAUUUCUAUAUCACACUAUACAUUUUUAUAUAACAUUAAGGUACAAUAUCCAAUUGUAAAGAGGGCUAACUCCAAUGAAAUUUACUUUAAAUUUGUUUUCAGUAUUAUUUCAAUAGUAAACAUUCAAUCAAUGACACUCAAGAGCUAACGAAGUUAUAAAUGGGUUACCGUAGCUGUUAUGUUGAACUUUUGAACUAAGUGCAAUGUGAACUACAACGCUUUUACAAACAGUAUUGUCAAACCCUCAAUGAUAUACUCUAUUUUUAGUUUAAGGCACUAUAUAUUAAGUCCUUUUUUAUUAGGGUAUAUAAUUUUUUUAAAGUAUUUUAAACAUUAACAAUUUAUAUCUUAGCUGACUUUCAUUUAACUUAAAGGAGAUGAAUUUUAAAAAGAGAAAAUUUUUGGAAAUGGAGAAAAAAAACUUUUUUUUAAUAUUAUGCCAAAAUUUCUCAAUACCAUGGCCAUUGUAUGAAAAGAACUUUGUAAAUUGAUAGUGAUACAAAUGUUUAGAAUUUAUUUCCCAGAAAUAUAAUUGCGGACAGUUGAGUAUGUUGAGUGUAUUGAUGAAUUGAUUGAUGCAGUACCGCUCUCUGCCGAUAGUGUCAGCCAUUAAUGUAACCGUUUUUUCUGUAGUACAGUGUCUGUGAGUGACUCUCUAGGUAGCAAGUACCUGUUACUUCAGACAUCACAACUGUCAACAAGUACAUACAGAUAGGCCUGUCUUUGACUGGAUCAAAUAUAAUUACACGAACCAUUGUUUUUAUUCUUAAAGUAAUUAACAAUUAUAGAGGAAAUACAAAAAUCACUUUGCUUACUGCUGAUGCACAUCUGACCUUUUUUUCCCUUUUGGUGACCAGUUUUUUUUUUUCUAAAAGCAAACAAGAAAUUGAUUUUGCUAAAUUUAAAACCACCAUACAGAAUUUUUUUCACUAAAUACAGAACAGUAAUUGAUUUUUUUUUUCCCUCCAUUUUUCAUUUUGACUGAUGUAAUUUAUCUUCAUUGAUUUUUCAUAGUUGAAAAAAAUAAAACAAUUGGCAAACAUCAAGAGAGUGAGAUUUGCACAUAAAUUGAUGCAUGUAGCAAUCUGAUUAAUUGCAUGUAAUAUUUAUGACGACACCAUGUGACAUAUGAUGGUUUCAUUCUGUGAAGCAAAAUUCUGAUGGAUUUUGUGAUGGUGUUUUUUGUUUUUUUUAAGUAAUUUAGUUUUGCGAUGGAUUUUGUAGAUAAGCAUGAUGGGAUACGACUGUUAUGUAGUCGCAGUCAGCGUCCAUAGAUUUGUCCGUUAUCUCAGCUAUAGCCCCUGGCUGGUAAACUGGGGCUCAUGUCAUUUGAAAUAAACAACCGAUUCUCUUAUCACAGUUAACCUAUGCUGCAGUCAUAACUAGGGGAAAUUAUUGGUAAUAUCCUGUGUGUCAGAUUUGUUGGUCUCUAAGGCUGUGUGUAGAAAUCCAUUCCUAUUGAUCCUUGUGAUAAAUUCUGUUAGUGUAUACUGUACUAGCUUUAAGGGAACUGAUGCAAUAUUGUAUCAUUGUAAAUAUUUGCAAUGAUGUUUUUUGGAGGAAAAAGAUUUGUUUUCAAUCUCGAUCAUGUAGUCGACAAUCAGAGAGAAACCCGACCCGAUGUAGACAGUUCUGUAAAAUAUUUUUUUUUUUAUGAAGGAAAGAUCUGUUUUUAUGUAUAAAUUUUGUAAAUAUAUAUCUAAUUGAUAUUAUAUAUAAACAUUUAUGUACUUUUAUCACAAAGUUAUAUUUUCUUAAAACUAGUUAUUAAUUUUUUGAGCUACUUGAUUUUUGUUUUUGUUGUCAUCACAGUUUUUAAUUUUGUCUGGAACAUGUGACUGAACAUCAUUGUUAAUUUGAAUUUGUAUUUUAUGAUGACAUCAUUUUAAUAAAAUGAGAAAUGGACUGUAUUCCUGUCGUAUGAUUACAUUUACUGACAUAAGCUUCCAGAUGAGCCUCGCAAGCCCUCGGUAAUGGCCUAUUUUAUGUAGUGUCUCGAUUAAUUGGGCAAUUUUUCGAAUGAAAAAAAAAAUCAGAAUCCCAUGUUUAUUGAUUGCAUGUCACAGCCCUGAACUGUUGUAAGUAUAAUAAGCACUGUGUGGCGGAUGACAGGGUGUCGGGCGACGAUCAACGGAAAAUCUCACCUUCCUGCGACACCCACUGGUGGUGCGGUAGAUACAUGUAACUGUAUCCUAACAUUGACUCAGCCCCAGAGAGAGAAAUAACAACAUUAUCACUGUGAUAUUUCACAAGAUUUCUCUGUUCUGAACAGUGGCAAGCUCUGUGUAAAACAGAUGGAGAGAGGGGAGUAUGUAGAGUCGGAGAGAGUGAAAGUGAAUAUUGUAAUGAAACAUGAAUACGAACUGGAAUCAUGUCUGGACAUAAGGUUGACUUGUGUUACAAUAUUUAUGGAUUGAUAUUGUAAUGUCUUAUUUGCCAUGGAUUUAUGCAGUCGCCAUAUAUAGCAACUGGCCACAGAGAAUUGACAAUGAGCAAUCAGAGAGAUUUGCCUAGACGCUCUCACUUAUAUCUGUCUAGUGCCUGGUGAUAUAGCCAAUGUCCUUGCAAUGAAACUAGAUUCCUGAUGAAUACCUAAUCUCAGAGACAGUUCUAAAUGAAAACAUUUACUGUCAAGAGGGGCGGGAUUUUCAUGGAUGUUAAAAAAUUACCCAGAAUGCUCUUGCUUGGAUUUGAUUGGUUAGGGAGCUCAACAAGAUUUACCCCCACCCUACCCCGCCUACCCUCACAUUCAGACGUCGCCCGCGCCACUCCAGAGCUAUGGCAUUGGGGACAGGAAGUUCUCGGCCCCGGUCCUCGGGUCGAACGAUAUGAAGG